rnacentral:tRNA from 2 species
GCGGUGUCGUGGCGGGGCCGAUCGCCGUCGGCUGCUACCCGGCGCUCGGCCCGACGAUCCUGCCGUCGAUGUUGUAC